rnacentral:rRNA from 2 species
AACAUACCCUUUCCUGCGGAAUAGCUCUGGGAAACUGGAAUUAAUACCGCAUACGCCCUACGGGGGAAAGAUUUAUCGGGGAAGGAUUGGCCCGCGUUGGAUUAGCUAGUUGGUGGGGUAAAGGCCUACCAAGGCGACGAUCCAUAGCUGGUCUGAGAGGAUGAUCAGCCACAUUGGGACUGAGACACGGCCCAAACUCCUACGGGAGGCAGCAGUGGGGAAUAUUGGACAAUGGGCGCAAGCUUGAUCCAGCCAUGCCGCGUGAGUGAUGAAGGCCUUAGGGUUGUAAAGCUCUUUCACCGGAGAAGAUAAUGACGGUAUCCGGAGAAGAAGCCCCGGCUAACUUCGUGCCAGCAGCCGCGGUAAUACGAAGGGGGCUAGCGUUGUUCGGAAUUACUGGGCGUAAAGCCGCACGUAGGCGGAUAUUUAAGUCAGGGGUGAAAUCCCAGAGCUCAACUCUGGAACUGCCUUUGAUACUGGGUAUCUUGAGUAUGGAAGAGGUAAGUGGAAUUCCGAGUGUAGAGGUGAUAUUCGUAGAUAUUCGGAGGAACACCAGUGGCGAAGGCGGCUUACUGGCCCAUUACUGACGCUGAGGUGCGAAAGCGGGGGGAGCAAACAGGAUUAGAUACCCUGGUAGUCCACG